GGGUUGUGAGGUUAAGCGACUAAGCGUACACGGUGGAUGCCCUGGCAGUCAGAGGCGAUGAAGGACGUGCUAAUCUGCGAUAAGCGCCGGUAAGGUGAUAUGAACCGUUAUAACCGGCGAUUUCCGAAUGGGGAAACCCAGUGUGACUCGUCACACUAUCAUUAACUGAAUCCAUAGGUUAAUGAGGCGAACCGGGGGAACUGAAACAUCUAAGUACCCCGAGGAAAAGAAAUCAACCGAGAUUCCCCCAGUAGCGGCGAGCGAACGGGGAGGAGCCCAGAGCCUGAAUCAGCAUGUGUGUUAGUGGAAGCGUCUGGAAAGGCGCGCGAUACAGGGUGACAGCCCCGUACACAAAAGCGCAUGUGCUGUGAGCUCGAUGAGUAGGGCGGGACACGUGGUAUCCUGUCUGAAUAUGGGGGGACCAUCCUCCAAGGCUAAAUACUCCUGACUGACCGAUAGUGAACCAGUACCGUGAGGGAAAGGCGAAAAGAACCCCGGCGAGGGGAGUGAAAAAGAACCUGAAACCGUGUACGUACAAGCAGUGGGAGCACAGGUUUACCUGUGUGACUGCGUACCUUUUGUAUAAUGGGUCAGCGACUUAUAUUCUGUAGCAAGGUUAACCGAAUAGGGGAGCCGGAGGGAAACCGAGUCUUAAUUGGGCGUUAAGUUGCAGGGUAUAGACCCGAAACCCGGUGAUCUAGCCAUGGGCAGGUUGAAGGUUGGGUAACACUAACUGGAGGACCGAACCGACUAAUGUUGAAAAAUUAGCGGAUGACCUGUGGCUGGGGGUGAAAGGCCAAUCAAACCGGGAGAUAGCUGGUUCUCCCCGAAAGCUAUUUAGGUAGCGCCUCGUGAAUUCAUCUCCGGGGGUAGAGCACUGUUUCGGCUAGGGGGCCAUCCCGGCUUACCAACCCGAUGCAAACUGCGAAUACCGGAGAAUGUUAUCACGGGAGACACACGGCGGGUGCUAACGUCCGUCGUGAAGAGGGAAACAACCCAGACCGCCAGCUAAGGUCCCAAAGUCAUGGUUAAGUGGGAAACGAUGUGGGAAGGCCCAGACAGCCAGGAUGUUGGCUUAGAAGCAGCCAUCAUUUAAAGAAAGCGUAAUAGCUCACUGGUCGAGUCGGCCUGCGCGGAAGAUGUAACGGGGCUAAACCAUGCACCGAAGCUGCGGCAGCGACACUGUGUGUUGUUGGGUAGGGGAGCGUUCUGUAAGCCUGUGAAGGUGGCCUGUGAGGGUUGCUGGAGGUAUCAGAAGUGCGAAUGCUGACAUAAGUAACGAUAAAGCGGGUGAAAAGCCCGCUCGCCGGAAGACCAAGGGUUCCUGUCCAACGUUAAUCGGGGCAGGGUGAGUCGACCCCUAAGGCGAGGCCGAAAGGCGUAGUCGAUGGGAAACGGGUUAAUAUUCCCGUACUUGGUGUUACUGCGAAGGGGGGACGGAGAAGGCUAUGUUGGCCGGGCGACGGUUGUCCCGGUUUAAGCGUGUAGGUGUGUGUUCCAGGUAAAUCCGGUUCACUUUAACACUGAGGCGUGACGACGAGGCACUACGGUGCUGAAGCAACAAAUGCCCUGCUUCCAGGAAAAGCCUCUAAGCAUCAGGUAACAUCAAAUCGUACCCCAAACCGACACAGGUGGUCAGGUAGAGAAUACCAAGGCGCUUGAGAGAACUCGGGUGAAGGAACUAGGCAAAAUGGUGCCGUAACUUCGGGAGAAGGCACGCUGACACGUAGGUGAAGUGAUUUACUCAUGGAGCUGAAGUCAGUCGAAGAUACCAGCUGGCUGCAACUGUUUAUUAAAAACACAGCACUGUGCAAACACGAAAGUGGACGUAUACGGUGUGACGCCUGCCCGGUGCCGGAAGGUUAAUUGAUGGGGUCAGCGCAAGCGAAGCUCCUGAUCGAAGCCCCGGUAAACAGGGGCCGUAACUAUAACGGUCCUAAGGUAGCGAAAUUCCUUGUCGGGUAAGUUCCGACCUGCACGAAUGGCGUAAUGAUGGCCAGGCUGUCUCCACCCGAGACUCAGUGAAAUUGAACUCGCUGUGAAGAUGCAGUGUACCCGCGGCAAGACGGAAAGACCCCGUGAACCUUUACUAUAGCUUGACACUGAACAUUGAGCCUUGAUGUGUAGGAUAGGUGGGAGGCUUUGAAGUGUGGACGCCAGUCUGCAUGGAGCCGACCUUGAAAUACCACCCUUUAAUGUUUGAUGUUCUAACGUGGACCCGUAAUCCGGGUUGCGGACAGUGUCUGGUGGGUAGUUUGACUGGGGCGGUCUCCUCCUAAAGAGUAACGGAGGAGCACGAAGGUUGGCUAAUCCUGGUCGGACAUCAGGAGGUUAGUGCAAUGGCAUAAGCCAGCUUGACUGCGAGCGUGACGGCGCGAGCAGGUGCGAAAGCAGGUCAUAGUGAUCCGGUGGUUCUGAAUGGAAGGGCCAUCGCUCAACGGAUAAAAGGUACUCCGGGGAUAACAGGCUGAUACCGCCCAAGAGUUCAUAUCGACGGCGGUGUUUGGCACCUCGAUGUCGGCUCAUCACAUCCUGGGGCUGAAGUAGGUCCCAAGGGUAUGGCUGUUCGCCAUUUAAAGUGGUACGCGAGCUGGGUUUAGAACGUCGUGAGACAGUUCGGUCCCUAUCUGCCGUGGGCGCUGGAGAACUGAGGGGGGCUGCUCCUAGUACGAGAGGACCGGAGUGGACGCAUCACUGGUGUUCGGGUUGUCAUGCCAAUGGCACUGCCCGGUAGCUAAAUGCGGAAGAGAUAAGUGCUGAAAGCAUCUAAGCACGAAACUUGCCCCGAGAUGAGUUCUCCCUGAGACUUAGAGUCUCCUGAAGGAACGUUGAAGACGACGACGUUGAUAGGCCGGGUGUGUAAGCGCAGCGAUGCGUUGAGCUAACCGGUACUAAUGAACCGUGAGGCUUAACCUUACAACGCCAAAG
rnacentral:rRNA from 1 species